GAAAAAGAGUGCAAGUUCACAUAUAUAUACUCCCAAAAUACUAUUCACAUCAGAUUGUGGCUCAGGUAUAGAUAUUUUUCGUCUGCCCUUCAGAACGUCCGAUUGAGCUCAAACUUGGCAGUCACGAUCAGUUUAACCUUACUUAACGAAAGAAAUUUUAAUCUUUCAGUUUCGACCCCGUUUGGUCACCGAAAGCUGUACCGAACUGUAAUCUUAAUCAGAUAACUGUCGGAUUUUAAUUUCCACCUUCUGGGUGUCAGAAUGGCAUGAAACUUUAAAUCUAGCCUCAUAAAAAUAAUCCUAAUGUAUUCGCAAAUUUUCGGAAUUUUCUGACACCGUGCAUUUUCUGCUAAAAUAUCAGCCCGGUCUCACACAGAAAAUUCUCAAUUUUCCAUUUUCACUCCGAUUUUCGCACGAGUCAAUCCUGACGUAUAAUUUACUUGUCUAAGUUCAAUAAAAAUAGUAUCUCACACUAUUUUUAUUUAUAUUCACUUUUAAUAAAAAAAAAUCCGGUAUGCUACAUUCUCCACCUCUUAAAAAGAGUUUCGUCCUCGAAACUUCAAUCACACCUCAACUCGACCUAUCGAGCCAUAAAUACUAUCUUCCCUUGUAAUUACCCGGUUUUAGGUAGGGGAUAAUCAACACAACCAGCGAAAAUAAAUCCUCAAACCGCACUAUUUCGUGCAUAAAAAAAAUUCUCAAGGCGAGUCAAGUCAGCUCGCAAUCCAAGAGUACUAGGUACCCACAACAACUCCAACAUCAAACAAGGCCAAUCCAUUGGUCGGCACACAAAACCAUCUCACGUGGUAGGGUGUUCGAGACGACACACCUGAUCAACAGAUCAUCCUACAAGCGUCGAAAAAGUUCAACGGUAACAAAAUCCUCGGGUUGGGUCACCACACACUCGGUGUAUCCUCGAUCUCACGAUCCAACAUAUGGCAUUCCACGCUCCAAAGUCAAAGCUCGGACUACCGUCCUAACCAAACUCUCUGCCCCACCCGUAGGUACCGGGUCGCUGUCACACACAGCUGACUGCGCCUGCCCAAAGGGCCCAGGCUCCACAGUCCACAAACGGUCCAGGCACGGUCGUCUCCAAGCACUAUCCGGCGAACAGCCGAUCACGGGAUGCAACUAAUGCAAUCAUCGUGUGAUUCACAAGGCAUAGGAAAACAUGCCACCCACAACCCGCAAAUCAACCGCCUAGCUCAAGAGAGCUGAAAGUCAUCGCAAACAGCGAGCUCUGGCAUCCUCGGUACACAACCUCCUCUUGUCCCAAAUAGGGCGACAGGGCAAACUCUCUAAUGUCCAAGGAGUGGUCGGAGAAACACGCGUGUCGUAAGCAACAGAUCUAAAAGGAUGCCAUGCAACUCGGCAAACAGCCGAUCGAAGGAUGCAAAUAAUGCAACGAUAUCCAACAAUGCACAAUUCAGAUGUCACAAAACAACUGAUACCUGUAGCCACCAACUCGGCUGUUGCCGCCUCCGCGGUCUGGGCCGCAUACAUGCGCCCGCUCGGGGCCUGUCGGGACCCCUCCGUCUGCCUCUGAAUAGGUGGCUGCCUGGCCUGGUAGCGAGCGGAAGGCGUCCCCAGGCUGGGGCCCGGUAAAACUGGUGCCGAUGCUGAAGAUGGCGCUGGUACUGAACCGCUCCGGCAGUCCGACUGAAAGUGACCCUCCUGGCCACAUAAGUAACACCUGCCCUGCUGCUGAGCCGUCGCCGCCUGCUGGGUAACUAAGUCGGUGAGGGCCGCAAGCUGGCCUCUCAACUCACGGACCUCGCCGGAUCCGGAAGUAGCGGAGGUCUCCACCUCCUCAAAAUGUGCCGCAUCAUCCGCUCCGACAGACUGGGAGCGUGUAAUCGUCAUCGCAUUACAACAUCAUAUAAGCGCAAGUUAAUGAAACCCACGCUAUCGUAUCCCCGCUCAACUAACCCAUACCCAAAUCAUGCGAAAGUAAGGAAGUGUCUUAUACUACUAACUCCCGAUGUUACGUUGUCGGCCGCCAACGUAACCCACCGCGAAGUUAGAAGCCAUACACUUCAAUCGAACUCCAACUUCUUGGAGUUAUCAAAAAAACCCAAUCAUGAUACUUUCGCUUACAAAUCAAAUAUAGAUCUCGUCUCUCAAGCCAUUUCCUAUAGUCUCAACCACAAGUUUGCUAGUCCCUCUAAGACUCACCUAGUACUUGACCAAACUUAAUAUUCUGUCACUCCCCGGACCGGCGUAGGCCCGCCGAUGCUGCCAGACCCGCAUAUGGCCUACACAUAAUAAGCGUCUAAAGAAAGCUUGAGAUAAUAUUAGAAGAUACUACAUCUAGAAACAUCUAUUAAAGAAGGAAAGGAAAGGACAGCAAGUAUACAUCUAGAGCUCUAUAGUAAUCCCAAACAUAACGUUAACAGUAUCCAUCUCAUAGUCAAAAAUGUUGGUCUCUCUAGACAAUGUAAUCUCUUAAUCUCCAAAAAGAACAAAUAGAGGUGGACCACCUAUCCAAUUCAUCCUUCGCUAGCGUAACACGGCAUUUCUUCCGGCAUCGGGNNNNNNNNNNNNNNNNNNNNNNNNNAAAAAAAUCUGGUAUGCUACAUUCUCCACCCCUUAAAAGAGUUUCGUCCUCGAAACUUCAAUCACAUCUCAACUCGACCUAUCGAGCCAUUGA
rnacentral:lncRNA from 1 species